GACGAACGCUGGCGGCGUGCUUAACACAUGCAAGUCGAACGAAGUGGCGAACGGUUGAGGAAUACUUGGUUCACCUGCCCUCCUUUUUGGGAUAAGCGUUGGAAACGGGGUCUAAUACCGAAUCAAGGGGGGGGGGCUCGUGGCCUAUCGGCUUGUUGGUGGGGUGGUGGCCUACCAAGGCGGUGACGGGUAGCAGGACUGAGAGGGUGAACGGCCACUGAGGGACGGAGCAACGGCCGAGACUAGUAAGGGGUGCGGCAGUGGGGGCAAUGGCACAAUGGGCGAAAGCCUGAUGCAGCGAGGCCGCGUGGGGGAUGAAGGCUUUAGGGUUGUAAACCUCGUUCGCUAUCGAAAGGGUAGGUGGAGAAGAAGCGCCGGCUAACUACGUGCCAGCAGCCGCGGUAAUUC
rnacentral:rRNA from 1 species